UAGAGUUUUUCAAACUCCCAACCCAUGUGAACUUACCACUGUUGCCUCGGCAGAGGCUACCCGGUACCUACCUCGGGACGGCCUACCCUGUAGCGCCUUACCUGGGAACGGUUACCCUGUAGCGGCUGCCGGUGGACUACCAAACUCUUGUUAUUUUAUUGUAAUCUGAGCGUCUUAUUUUAAUAAGUCA
rnacentral:misc_RNA from 1 species